rnacentral:rRNA from 1 species
CUAACACAUGCAAGUCGAACGGUAACAGGAAGAAGCUUGCUUCUUUGCUGACGAGUGGCGGACGGGUGAGUAAUGUCUGGGAAACUGCCUGAUGGAGGGGGAUAACUACUGGAAACGGUAGCUAAUACCGCAUAACGUCGCAAGACCAAAGAGGGGGACCUUCGGGCCUCUUGCCAUCGGAUGUGCCCAGAUGGGAUUAGCUUGUUGGUGGGGUAACGGCUCACCAAGGCGACGAUCCCUAGCUGGUCUGAGAGGAUGACCAGCCACACUGGAACUGAGACACGGUCCAGACUCCUACGGGAGGCAGCAGUGGGGAAUAUUGCACAAUGGGCGCAAGCCUGAUGCAGCCAUGCCGCGUGUAUGAAGAAGGCCUUCGGGUUGUAAAGUACUUUCAGCGGGGAGGAAGGGAGUAAAGUUAAUACCUUUGCUCAUUGACGUUACCCGCAGAAGAAGCACCGGCUAACUCCGUGCCAGCAGCCGCGGUAAUACGGAGGGUGCAAGCGUUAAUCGGAAUUACUGGGCGUAAAGCGCACGCAGGCGGUUUGUUAAGUCAGAUGUGAAAUCCCCGGGCUCAACCUGGGAACUGCAUCUGAUACUGGCAAGCUUGAGUCUCGUAGAGGGGGGUAGAAUUCCAGGUGUAGCGGUGAAAUGCGUAGAGAUCUGGAGGAAUACCGGUGGCGAAGGCGGCCCCCUGGACGAAGACUGACGCUCAGGUGCGAAAGCG